ACAUGCCUACAACAUAGUGUUAAUGCACCAGAUCUCAUUAGAACUUUGUAGUUAAGCGUGUCCAGGCUAGAGCAGUACUAGAAUGGGUGACCAAUCGGGAAGUUCUAGUCUUUUACAUGCC
rfam:Picea glauca, whole genome shotgun sequence.